GGCACGGUACGCAAACCUUGGCAAAGCGGCGAAGCUCAGACCUUCGUGACUUUGUGAGUUCGACUCUCACUCGUGCCA
rnacentral:tRNA from 1 species